GCAACGGAAACAAACUGCAUCGGGAUCACGCAAGAGAUGUAGAGACCUCCCCCCCUCCCAAAUGAGCCUCUCAUCACCAGACUGGGGUUCUCCAGCAGCUCCCAUGUCCACAGACAUAGCAGUGCAGAUAUCUCAUGGAUUAAGCUGUACCCUGAAAGGAAAGCCCCUGCCUGCGUUUGCUGCCGGGUGAGAUGAAGGUGUCUGAGAAAGUGUGGCUGACUGAACCUGGACAUCAGGAGAGCGGGAGGGAGCUGGGCAGCACCUUGGGCUGGCACACCAAAGGAGGCCUGAAACUACCACAUGU